GACGAACGCUGGCGGCGUGCCUAAUACAUGCAAGUGGGACGCAAGGGAACACACUGUGCUUGCACACCGUGUUUUCUUGAGUCGCGAACGGGUGAGUAACGCGUAGGUAACCUGCCUAUUAGCGGGGGAUAACUAUUGGAAACGAUAGCUAAUACCGCAUAAUAUUAAUUAUUGCAUGAUAAUUGAUUGAAAGAUGCAAGCGCAUCACUAGUAGAUGGACCUGCGUUGUAUUAGCUAGUUGGUAAGGUAAGAGCUUACCAAGGCGACGAUACAUAGCCGACCUGAGAGGGUGAUCGGCCACACUGGGACUGAGACACGGCCCAGACUCCUACGGGAGGCAGCAGUAGGGAAUCUUCGGCAAUGGACGAAAGUCUGACCGAACAACGCCGCGUGAGUGAAGAAGGUUUUCGGAUCGUAAAGCUCUGUUGUAAGUCAAGAACGUGUGUGAGAGUGGAAAGU
rnacentral:rRNA from 1 species